AAACUAGUUGCAGUGGAUGAUAAGGAACUUCUUCAAGAACUUGCAAGAUUUUCUUCUGUGUUGUUACAAGAGAUGUUGCGCAAUAAGCUGCAGGGAAUUAUAUUUAGACGUGAUGGACUGAAGAGGAGCCACAUAUAAAUUAGGGAUCAGGGCCAUCCACUGGAAAAAUUAUGAAAAGACCCCUCCCUCCAAUAGGCUUUGGGCAUAUAGGUUUUGGGCUGGAGUUUGUUGCCCAUCCUCACCCUCUGCAUAAACAGCAGGAGAUUGAAUACCCCAAUGGAAGAGCAUGUAUGCAGAGUUCUGUGGCAGAAUAUUUAAGGUAUGUGGGCAAUCUAUGGCAAGUAUAUCUGAAGAAGGUGUGACCGGCUAUAAGAAUCAGCUGGACUUGAGUAUGGAGACCCAGAAGUGCCAGCAAGCUCAGAAAAGGAAAUAAUUGGAAGAAUAUUGCUAGACAUAGAAGCAGAACACAUUCUUCUGCAACAAUUGUUGACUCAGAAUAAAUAAGUCAUUGAAAACAUCAGCAGUGAAAUGACAGAUCCUGGUGCUUUUUGAUUCUCUGGUGGAUUUUAUUACUUAGACGUUGCUACUGACAUUUUUAUUAUCCUAUUUAAUACAUCUUGAAUCUAUCUGUACAUAAAAAUAUAACUGGACAACUGCAUUUUGAUACUGUUUAAUAACACUUUUGAACAUUAAAUCGUUUGCCAAGAUGAGUGCUGAAGGAUAUCAAUACAGAGCUUUAUAUGACUACAAAAAAGAGCGAGAAGAAGACAUUGACUUGCACUUAGGAGAUAUAUUAACUGUGAAUAAAGGUACCUUACUAGCACUUGGAUUCAGUGAAGGGGAAGAAGCAAAGCCUGAGGAAAUUAGUUGGUUAAAUGGCUUUAAUGAAACCACAGGGGAGAGGGGGGAUUUCCCAGGAACUUAUGUAGAGUACAUUGGAAAAAAAAAAAUAACUCCCCCAACUCCGAAGCCUCGUCCUCUUCGACCCCUUCCUGUAGCACCAAGUCCUGCAAAAGUUGAAGCAGAGAGUGAGCAACAAGGUUAGUACUGUUCUCAGAAGACUUGUGUGUCCCCCACAGGGACACAGGUAUUUCAGGUAUUUUUGUUUCAUAGACUUGCAUGACCAUACAUUUACAUAUAUAAUAUAUGCUGGUCAGCUUUAUUUAGUGCAUGCCUCAUUUCAGUCAAUUAAGAAUUGUUUCUACUUCAUAAUAUUUAGCUCAUACGCUUUGUAAUUUCAUGUGCUUUGUCUCAGCUACUGGUCUCUGUGGUGCCUUACUGUGAGGGACAUCUCACAGGUUGGAAAGUAUGCUUGUAAUUCACAACUGUAAAGACUUAAAUGGAGAAUGAGCAGGGUAGCAUUUAUUUUAGGUUUCUAAGAAGCUGAUGGAAGUGUUUCCCUCUGUGGUUCAUCAAACUCACUGUUGAGAAACUUCUUGGUGAAUUUGACAAUACGAAUUCCAAAUAAACAGUAUGUUCCUAUCAUAAAUCUCUUGCUAACAGCAAAAAAUAUAUACUUUGUCAUGGAGGUUUACAUAUAGCAUUAAAAGUAAGAGCAGGCAUUUUAAAAUG